GCGUAAGAGCUCGUAGGCGGUUUGAUACGUCGGGUGUGAAAUUCAGGGGCUCAACCCCUGACCUGCAUUCGAUACGGUCAAGCUAGAGUUUGGUAGGGGAGACUGGAAUUCCUGGUGUAGCGGUGGAAUGCGCAGAUAUCAGGAGGAACACCGAUGGCGAAGGCAGGUCUCUGGGCCAAUACUGACACUGAGGAGCGAAAGCGUGGGGAGCGAACAGGAUUAGAUACCCUGGUAGUCCACGCCGUAAACGAUGGGCGCUAGUUGUGCGAACCUUCCACGGUUUGUGCGACGCAGCUAACGCAUUAAGCGCCCCGCCUGGGGAGUACGAUCGCAAGAUUAAAACUCAAAGGAAUUGACGGGGCCCCGCACAAGCAGCGGAGCAUGCGGCUUAAUUCGACGCAACGCGAAGAACCUUACCAAGGCUUGACAUAUACAGGAAUACGGCAGAGAUGUCGUAGCGGUAAAACGUCUGUAUACAGGUGGUGCAUGGUUGUCGUCAGCUCGUGUCGUGAGAUGUUGGGUUAAGUCCCGCAACGAGCGCAACCCUCGUUCUGUGUUGCCAGCAUUUAGUUGGGGACUCACAGGAGACUGCCGGGGUUAACUCGGAGGAAGGUGGGGAUGACGUCA
rnacentral:rRNA from 1 species